GCUAAAUGAUGAUAACAAGGCAAAUGUGACCUCAUCAGCAGGUUGCUCCCUCAGCCUGUUCCUUGCAUAAUGGUCUGUAAUCUUGGUGGUCAAUGCAGAGCAAUGUGUGUUCACUGUAAGGGCAGACCUACAGGACAUCCCAUUCCUUCUGUCUUCCAUCUUUUUGGAAUGAGAUCCAUCAUUUGCAUAGUAUUGCAAGAGGUGGCCAGGGGGUGGAUACAGGAUAAAUCUAGUGUGCCUGGGUAAUGGGUUGCUGGUUGCUCCAGACGUACGCUGAUAGGAUACCAUGAGCACAAUCUUUGGUAAUCUGAAAGCU